UACGUAGGGUGCGAGCGUUAAUCGGAAUUACUGGGCGUAAAGCGUGCGCAGGCGGUUUUGUAAGCCAGAUGUGAAAUCCCCGGGCUUAACCUGGGAAUGGCAUUUGGGACUGCAAGGCUUGAGUGCGGCAGAGGAGACUGGAAUUCCUGGUGUAGCAGUGAAAUGCGUAGAUAUCAGGAGGAACACCGAUGGCGAAGGCAGGUCUCCUGGGCUGACACUGACGCUCAUGCACGAAAGCGUGGGAGCGAAACAA
rnacentral:rRNA from 1 species